AUGUGGGGUGAGCACCCCUCGAGUUAGGAGGAGGGUAGCUGGGAACGGUGCAGGGCUGAGUUCUCGACAAGCUGCUGGUAGGACAGUCACUCAGGUUGAGGGUAGAACUGAGAGAACCUGAAACUGGGCGUAGGAAGGUUCCAAGUGCUGGAGCCCUGCAAGACAGAGGAAGUUUUUUUUUUGCUUUUGUUUUGUUUUGUUUUGUUUUGUUUGUUUGUUUGUUUUUUUACCUCUCUGUGCAUUCUUUCUUCCUUGGAAGUAACAGAGGCAAGCUUGGGAACUGUGUGAACCAGGGUGGUUUAUAAAAUCCUCCAAUGAAGCUACUAACAUUACUCCAAAGCAUAAUAUGAAAGCAUUUUUGGAUGAAUUGAAAGCUGAGAACAUCAAGAAGUUCUUAUAUAAUUUUACACAGAUACCACAUUUAGCAGGAACAGAACAAAACUUUCAGCUUGCAAAGCAAAUUCAAUCCCAGUGGAAAGAAUUUGGCCUGGAUUCUGUUGAGCUAGCACAUUAUGAUGUCCUGUUGUCCUACCCAAAUAA
rnacentral:lncRNA from 1 species